AUUGAACGCUGGCGGCAGGCCUAACACAUGCAAGUCGAGCGGAGCGGCGGACGGGUGAGUAAUGCCUAGGAAUCUGCCUGGUAGUGGGGGAUAACGUUCGGAAACGGGCGCUAAUACCGCAUACUAUCAGAUGAGCCUAGUGCGGAUUAGCUAGUUGGUGGGGUAAAGGCCUACAAGGGCGACGAUCUGUAACUGGUCUGAGUGGAUGAUCAGUAACACUGGAACUGGGACACGGGUCAGACGCCUUCGGGAGGCAGCAGUGGGGAAGAUUGGGCAAUGGGCGAAAGCCUGAAUAAGCCAUGCCGCGUGUGUGAAGAAGGUCUGCGGGUUGGAAAGCACUUUAAGUUGGGAGGAUUAACCAACAGAAUAGGCAUCGGCUAACUUCGUGCCAGCAGCCGCGGUAAUAC
rnacentral:rRNA from 1 species